rnacentral:rRNA from 1 species
GCCCAGACUCCUACGGGAGGCAGCAGUGGGGAAUAUUGCACAAUGGGGGGAACCCUGAUGCAGCGACGCCGCGUGGGUGAAGGAGUACUUCGGUAUGUAAAGCUCUAUCAGCAGGGAAGAAAAUGACGGUACCUGACUAAGAAGCCCCGGCUAACUACGUGCCAGCAGCCGCGGUAAUACGUAGGGGGCAAGCGUUAUCCGGAUUUACUGGGUGUAAAGGAAGCGUAGACGGCAUGGCAAGUCAGAUGUGAAAGCCCGGGGCUCAACCCCGGGACUGCACUUGAAACUGUCAGGCUGGAGUGCAGGAGAGGGAAGUGGAAUUCCUAGUGUAGCGGUGAAAUGCGUAGAUAUUAGGAGGAACACCAGUGGCGAAGGCGGCUUACUGGACUGUAACUGGCGUUGAGGCUCGAAAGCGUGGGGAGCAAACAGGAUUAGAUACCCUCGUAAAU